rnacentral:lncRNA from 1 species
CUAAAAGAGCCUGGCACAGCCCUCUGCCCCAUCUUUCUCUUGAUUCCUCUCUCUCCAUAUGUUCUCUGCACAUGCCAGCUCUCCUUCAUUUUCCACCAUUAAUGGAAGCAGCCUGAGACCCUCACCAGAUGCCCAAUGUUGCACUUUUCUAGACAACAGAAUUGUCAUCUGCCUGGUAAACAACCAUGUGCCGGAAUAACUGGAAGAACCAACAUUUGUAUCAUAUCUGACAGCUUUAUUUAUUUUCCAAAUGUUUAUUUGGAAACUUCUAGGUCUUUGGAGAGAACUGAGAUCCACAGGAAUCAUUUGUACCUGCUUUCUGUGGUAUCAAGACGAGCAGCUCAUCUGGGGGCUAGAGGACCCACUUUCAAGAUGUUUGACAUGGCCGCUCUUUCUGUUGUUCUUCAGCAUCGUCACCAGUGGAACAUAUAAAACGCAAGGAGG